CGACUGGAGAUAGUAGAAAAGUUACAUGAAGUCAACCUGUUUUUACAGGCACAAGCAGCAGCUCGACAAAACUUGGACCAGUUAAGAGAAAAUGACCAUGCUUCAAUGAGAAAUCAAAUGGAACUUAGAAUUAAAGAUCUGGAAUCUCAGGUCUCUACAAUGAAGACUUCUCAAGAUUCUACUAAAACAGAGUUGGAAACCUACAGGCAACUCUACCUAGAAGAAUUAAAACUUAUAAAGUCCUUGAGAAAUAAGCUGAACAGGGCUAAGGAGAGACUGUCAGAGAGCAAUACAAAACUUCUUGUGGAGAGACAGCAGCACCAAACUUUACUCAGGACCCUUACUAUGAGUCCAGGCCUGGAACCACCUUAUUGUGGACAUUUUGAAAAUAAUUUAGUGCUCAAUGGAAACCUUACUCCAAGAGGAAACUUAGUGAUUCCUACCUUAAACCCACGGCCGUCAUAUGACGACAGGGAGGCUUCCUUGUGGAAGAUGCAGCGGGAGUUGGAGGAAAGAAUAAC